rnacentral:lncRNA from 1 species
UGGGACUUCACCUUGUGAUCAAUUUCAUUCCUGCAGAAACCACAAUAAAGGGACGUGCCCUCAGUUGCCCUGUCUCCCUCUGCCUCAUGACUGACCGCGGUGCAUGACCUGAGUGGCCUUGUGUGGCCUGCUGCUUUCUCCCCAGUGAACUGUGAAUUACUAAUUGAGGCAUAUUUUGUGACUAUGGCAGAGGCAAAAAAGUACAAACAAGUAAGUGCUUCUUCAAACCUUAUUUAUAUAUUG